UGUAUGUGUCUGUGUCUGUUUGUACAUACAUAUAUAUAUAUAUAUAUAUAUAUAUUACACACACACACACACACACACA